rnacentral:rRNA from 1 species
UACGAAGGGGGCUAGCGUUGCUCGGAAUUACUGGGCGUAAAGCGCACGUAGGCGGCUUUCUAAGUCGGGGGUGAAAUCCUGGAGCUCAACUCCAGAAAUGCCUUCGAUACUGGAGAGCUUGAGUCCGGGAGAGGUGAGUGGAACUGCGAGUGUAGAGGUGAAAUUCGUAGAUAUUCGCAAGAACACCAGUGGCGAAGGCGGCUCACUGGCCCGGUACUGACGCUGAGGUGCGAAAGCGUGGGGAGCAAACAGG